rnacentral:rRNA from 1 species
GUAGGGAAUUUUGCGCAAUGGGGGCAACCCUGACGCAGCGACGCCGCGUGAGUGAUGAAGGCCUUCGGGUUGUAAAGCUCUGUCAGACGGGACGAAUGUACACCGGUCAAACAGGCUGGUGUAGUGACGGUACUGUCAAAGGAAGCACCGGCUAACUCUGUGCCAGCAGCCGCGGUAAUACAGAGGGUGCAAGCGUUAUUCGGAAUUACUGGGCGUAAAGCGCAUGUAGGCGGGUAAGAAAGUCAGUUGUGAAAUACCUAGGCUCAACCUAGGAAUGGCAAAUGAAACUUCAUAUCUUGAGUACGGGAGAGGGAAGCGGAAUUCCAGGUGUAGAAGUGAAAUUCGUAGAUAUCUGGAGGAACACCAGAGGCGAAGGCGGCUUCCUGGUCCGAGACUGACGCUGAGAUGCGAGAGCGUGGGGAGCAAACAGGAUUAGAAACCCUGGUAGUCC